CGAAGGAGUGGCGAACGGGUGAGUAAUACAUAAGCAACCUACCCACGAAGACUGGGAUAAUCUCUGGAAACGGGGACUAAUACCGGAUAGGUAAUCGGAAGGCAUCUUCUGGUUAUUAAAGGUUAAAAAACACUGGUGGAUGGGCUUAUGGCGCAUUAGUUAGUUGGUGAGGUAACGGCCCACCAAGACGAUGAUGCGUAGCCGGCCUGAGAGGGUGAACGGCCACAUUGGGACUGAGACACGGCCCAG
rnacentral:rRNA from 1 species